GAUUCCCAAACCAGUCCUCAUGGCCCACCAACAGUCCAGGAUUUAUGCAUUUCCCUUAUUUUAUGUUAACUGACAAAAACUGGACUGUUGGUAGGCCAUGAGGACUGGUUUGGGAAC